UACAGAGGUCUCAAGCGUUGUUCGGAUUCAUUGGGCGUAAAGGGUGCGUAGGCGGCGCGGUAAGUCGGGUGUGAAAUCUCGGAGCUUAACUCCGAAACUGCAUUCGAUACUGCCGUGCUUGAGGACUGGAGAGGAGACUGGAAUUUACGGUGUAGCGGUGAAAUGCGCAGAUAUCAGGAAGAACACCCGUGGCGAAGGCGGCUCUCUGGGACGUGACUGACGCUGAGACGCGAAAGCGUGGGGAGCGAACAGG
rnacentral:rRNA from 1 species